GCCUGGGUGGUUCAGUCGGUUAAGCAUCUGACUUCAGCUCAGGCCAUGAUCUAGUGGCCUGUGGGUUCAAGCCCCGCCUCGGGCU
rnacentral:tRNA from 1 species